rnacentral:rRNA from 1 species
UGGGGAAUUUUGGACAAUGGGCGAAAGCCUGAUCCAGCAAUGCCGCGUGUGUGAAGAAGGCCUUCGGGUUGUAAAGCACUUUUGUCCGGAAAGAAAUCCUUGGCUCUAAUACAGUCGGGGGAUGACGGUACCGGAAGAAUAAGCACCGGCUAACUACGUGCCAGCAGCCGCGGUAAUACGUAGGGUGCAAGCGUUAAUCGGAAUUACUGGGCGUAAAGCGUGCGCAGGCGGUUUGCUAAGACCGAUGUGAAAUCCCCGGGCUCAACCUGGGAACUGCAUUGGUGACUGGCAGGCUAGAGUAUGGCAGAGGGGGGUAGAAUUCCACGUGUAGCAGUGAAAUGCGUAGAGAUGUGGAGGAAUACCGAUGGCGAAGGCAGCCCCCUGGGCCAAUACUGACGCUCAUGCACGAAAGCGUGGGGAGCAAACAGGAUUAGGAUACCCUGGUAGUCCACGCCCUAAACGAUGUCAACUAGUUGUUGGGGAUUCAUUUCCUUAGUAACGUAGCUAACGCGUGAAGUUGACCGCCUGGGGAGUACGGUCGCAAGAUUAAAACUCAAAUGAAUUGACGGGGUCAUAGCUG